CUCCGGUUGAUCCUGCCGGACCCGACUGCUAUCAGAGUGGGACUAAGCCAUGCGAGUCAACAUAGCAAUAUGUGGCAUACGGCUCAGUAACACGUAGUCAACAUGCCCAGGGGACGUGGAUAACCUCGGGAAACUGAGGAUAAACCGCGAUAGGUCAUCACUUCUGGAAUGGGUAAUGACUUAAAUCUAUAUGGCCCCUGGAUUGGACUGCGGCCGAUCAGGCUGUUGGUGAGGUAAUGGCCCACCAAACCUGUAACCGGUACGGGCUCUGAGAGGAGGAGCCCGGAGAUGGGCACUGAGACAAGGGCCCAGGCCCUAUGGGGCGCAGCAGGCGCGAAACCUCUGCAAUAGGCGAAAGCUUGACAGGGUUACUCUGAGUGAUUUUCGUUAAGGAGAUCUUUUGGCACCUCUAAAAAUGGUGCAGAAUAAGGGGUGGGCAAGUCUGGUGUCAGCCGCCGCGGUAAUACCAGCACCCCGAGUGGUCGGGACGUUUAUUGGGCCUAAAGCAUCCGUAGCCGGUUCUACAAGUCUUCCGUUAAAUCCACCUGCUUAACAGAUGGGCUGCGGAAGAUACUAUAGAGCUAGGAGGCGGGAGAGGCAAGCGGUACUCGAUGGGUAGGGGUAAAAUCCGUUGAUCCAUUGAAGACCACCAGUGGCGAAGGCGGCUUGCCAGAACGCGCUCGACGGUGAGGGAUGAAAGCUGGGGGAGCAAACCGGAUUAGAUACCCGGGUAGUCCCAGCUGUAAACGAUGCAGACUCGGUGAUGAGUUGGCUUAUUGCUAACUCAGUGCCGCAGGGAAGCCGUUAAGUUUGCCGCCUGGGGAGUACGGUCGCAAGACUGAAACUUAAAGGAAUUGGCGGGGGAGCA
rnacentral:rRNA from 1 species